UACAGAGGUGCCAAGCGUUAGGCGGAAUCACUGGGCUUAAAGCGUGUGUAGGUGGUUCGUUAAGUCUGAUGUGAAAGCCCUGGGCUCAACCUGGGAAUGGCAUUGGAUACUGGCGAUCUAGAGUGCGGUAGAGGGCAGUGGAAUUCCCGGUGUAGCAGUGAAAUGCGUAGAGAUCGGGAGGAACAUCUGUGGCGAAGGCGACUGCCUGGACCAGCACUGACACUGAGGCACGAAAGCGUGGGGAGCAAACAGG
rnacentral:rRNA from 1 species